UACAAAACAGAAAUCAUUAAACAAACAAUUAAAGUCUACUUAGUUUGAAGGGAACAGGACUAGGGUAGACCUAAAAAGAAAAAUGAGACACUGAAAUUCUAUGGACCCGUUCGGUAACCAUUAAAAAAAUGGUUUUUUAUUUUUUUAAACAAAAAUAUGAAAAUAUAAUUAGAAAACACGUUCGGUAAUAUAAUUUUGUUUUUAUUUUUUUUAAUUUAAAAUCAAAAUUAAUUAAAUUUUGAAAACAUUAUUUUGAAGCUUUUAAAAACAUGAAAACGUAUUUUCGUCUCUGAGCUUCUGAGCUUCACCUUCCUCAAUCACAAGUAUAUACUAGAUUUGUUCAUGAGAGCUCAGUCAAUCAACUGAGCUUUUGAGCUUCACCUUCCUCAAUCAACAGUGCCCAGGGUGAUUUCUAUUAUUAAGAUUGAUUGGCUUGGUAGCUUUGAGUGUUUCAGACAGUUGGCUUGGUGACUUUGAGGAAAAUUGAUGAUCUAAGCUUGGAAAUUUCAAUUUCAGAUCAAAGACCUCUUUGGCCCUGAUCCAUUUGCUUUACUCAAGGUACACUCUCUUUCAAUCCAAUCAUAUAAAUAUAUUACAUAUUUCUUUCAUUAUGGCUGUUUCUCCAUUGUAGAUCUGCGAUAAAGUUUUGCUGCCACUCUUUGAAUCUGAUUCCAUUUGCAUUUGUGGAUUUCUGCAUUGUGGUUUUACUGGCUGUUUGGCAGUUGGGUUUUUGUUUGUUUUGCUUUUUCUUAUGUGGGUCGAUCUUACUUUUCGAAUUUGUUCUCUCAUCGGUUGA